AUGUUAAUAAAACAACAUAUUAAUGUUCCCUGUGUAUCAAAAAGUGUAACUUCUCUUAUCAAAUCGACAAAACCGGCCUCCUCUUUC